rnacentral:rRNA from 1 species
CCUACGGGUGGCAGCAGUGGGGAAUAUUGGGCAAUGGGCGCAAGCCUGACCCAGCAACGCCGCGUGAAGGAAGAAGGCCCUAGGGUUGUAAACUUCUUUUAUCAGGGACGAAGCAAGUGACGGUACCUGAUGAAUAAGCCACGGCUAACUACGUGCCACCAGCCGCGGUAUUACGUAGGUGGCAAGCGUUAUCCGGAUUUACUGGGUGUAAAGGGCGUGUAGGCGGGAAAGCAAGUCAGAUGUGAAAACCAUGGGCUCAACCUGUGGCCUGCAUUUGAAACUGUUUUUCUUGAGUACUGGAGAGGCAGACGGAAUGCCUGGUGUAGCGGUGAAAUGCGUAGAUAUUAGGAGGAACACCAGUGGCGAAGGCAGUCUGCUGGACAGCAACUGACGCUGAGGCGCGAAAGCGUGGGGAGCAAACAGGAUUAGAUACCCUAGUAGUC